UAUUAUUGGAUUCUGUGUUCGGUUGUCAAGGGAGGGAUGAGGUUAUUUUACGUAUUUUGUAUUUUCAUUCAGAUUUUUUGCGCAUUUCAAAAUCUAACGCGUUUAAAUAAAUUUAUGGCAACCGUUCAAUUCCUCUAGGUAACAAUUUUCGAAAUAACCCUCAAAUUAGCCCUUUCGUAUCGAACAAGGAAACAUCUCGUAAAGACGUCAAAGGAGAAUUUAAAAAACAGUUAUUUAUAAAUAUCGGUCCGGCCGUACCAUUUAUUUUCCAAUAACGCCGUGUGCGUUUAUUUUUAGGACGAAAAUAAAGGUUAGUGACGCAGUUAGGCAGUGGUCAAACACAAAGACAUUAAUUACUUGCAAAAAAGUAGAAAAUGUCGUUGAAACCGCGUCAAGUGGAUUUUAGCUCCACGUGGGGUGCUAUUAGGGAAACUAUUAGGGGCGUCAUAACGCUCGACCAUGUACCCCGUACUGCGUGGAACGACAGAUUUUCGGAUGUUUAUUCUUUAUGUGUGGCUUAUCCAGAGCCUUUGGCGGAUAGAUUAUACGCGGAAACUAAACAGUAUCUCAUUGACCAUGUUGCCAAACUACUAAACAAGGUUCAAGAGGAUGGGGAGCAAAACCUUGUCAAAAAUUAUUUUUUAUAUUGGUCACAGUAUUCUGUUGGGAGCCAAUACUUACACAGUCUCUAUCUAUACCUCAAUCAACAGCAUAUAAAAACCCAGAAGUUGUCUGAUGCAGAGAUUAUCUAUGGCGGUUCUGAGUCCUCAUCCAGCUCUGGAGGCGAUCAAAUGGAAAUUGGAGAGCUGGCUCUUCAAGUUUGGCAGUCAAACAUGAUAGCUCCCCUGGGCUCUCGACUGGUUAAACUAUUGCUUGAAGCAAUUGAUCAGGACAGAGCAGGGCAGCCUCCCAAAAUACCUAUAGAGGCAGUCCGUGGUACCAUUUUAAGUUUUGUUGAGGUACAAAGUUACAGAAAAAAGGGCCAAUUGCAACUCUAUCAGGAGUUAUUCGAAGAAACAUUUUUAAAUUCAAGCGGUGAGCAUUUUAAAAGAGACGCCGCGAGAUUGCUUCAAGAACGUGACGUUAGUUUGUAUAUGGAACAGGUCAAGGCAAAAAUUGAAGAGGAAUUGUUCCGGACCAGAAGAUUCUUGCACCACACUUCGCUGGCAAAGCUGGCCAACAGAUGCGAAACGCACAUGGUAGCAGAACAUUUGCAAUUCUUGUAUAGCGAAUGCCAGAAUAUGGUGAAAUAUGAACGUAAAGGGGACCUAUCGAACAUGUAUGACCUGUUGAAAAGUGUACCGAAUGCUCUAGUUGUCCUAGUUGAUACGGUUUUUGAUCAUAUCAAAUCGCAGGGCCUGGCAGCGAUACAUAACUUGCAAGGUGACUCUUUGCAUAUAAAUUUUGUCGAAAAUCUCCUCGCGGUCUACAAAAAAUACAAAGCACUGAUCCAGGAAGUCUUCAAGUCGGAUCAGAAUUUCAUGGGCGCCCUCGACAAAGCGUGCAAUUCCGUAAUUAACCAUCGACCCAACGACGGUCGGUCUCCCUGCCGAAGUCCCGAACUUCUCGCGAAAUACUGCGACACGCUACUUAAAAAAAGCAGCAAGGGCAUAACGGAAGCGGAGGUCGACGAAAAACUGACCGAGAGCAUCACCAUCUUUAAGUAUAUCGACGACAAGGAUGUAUUCCAGAAGUUUUACUCGCGUUCUUUGGCCAAACGCCUGAUCCACCAACAGACCCAGAGCAUGGACGCCGAAGAAGCGAUGAUAAACCGACUGAAACAAGCCUGCGGUUACGAGUUCACCAGUAAACUACACAGGAUGUUCACCGACAUGUCAGUCUCUGCUGACUUGAAUAACAAGUUCAACGCCUUCCUGAAACAGGACAACGUAGAUUUGGGAAUCAAUUUCGGUAUUUAUGUGCUGCAGGCGGGCGCCUGGCCCCUGGGACAGGCUGUAGUUACCCCGUUCGCUCUGCCUCAGCAGUUGGAGGAAAGCGUCCUUAUGUUUGAGAGUUUUUAUCAUAACCGAUUUAAUGGGAGGAAGCUAACGUGGCUUCAUCAUUUAUGCCAGGCGGAACUGAAACUGGGGUACCUAAAAAAGCCAUACGUAGUGACCGUGCAGACUUUCCAAAUGGCCAUAUUGCUCCUGUUUGAGAACGCCAACGUUCUCUCAUGCAAAGAGAUCCGGGAGAGCUUACAGUUGAAUAGCGACCAGUUCAAAAGACACGCUGUCAGCUUGGUGGAAUCGAAACUGUUGCUGUCGGAUACCGACGAAAUUGACGAGAACGAUACGAAUUUUAGAUUAAACAUGGAUUAUUCGAAUAAGAGGACGAAAUUUAGGAUAACGGCGGCGAUACAGAAAGAGACGCCCCACGAGGUGGAGCAGACGAUGAAUUCUGUCGAGGAAGAUAGGAAGAUGUACCUGCAGGCGGCGAUAGUCCGAAUUAUGAAGUCUAGAAAGGUGUUGAAGCACAACCUGCUCAUACAAGAGGUUUAUGCACAGUCCAAAGUGUCCUUUGCGCCCAGCGUCCAGCUGAUUAAGAAAUGCAUAGAAUCCUUGAUCGAUAAGCAGUACAUAGAGAGGACGCCCCAUUCGAGCGAGGAGUAUAGUUACGUAGCUUAAUUAAUUUAAAUCUCAUAGAGCUUUGCCACCAGGUCCCAGACUUGUUUGGCGGCCACACCUUUUCCCCAUACACGCGAAAUGGGCCCAUACAAUUCCUGCAGAUGACUUGACCAUGACUACAGAACCUUUAAUCCCGAAAUCAAG